UCUCUUUCAGGAUAGCACCUGAAGAGUUUCCAGUACUCUAUCAGUCUCAACUACGGGAGGGAGAGUCAAGCAGAGGAAUACUCAUUUCAUUCCUAGCUCGGACAGUGGCUGGAGAGUGGAAGGCAAUCUGCUCUAAGU